rnacentral:rRNA from 1 species
GUCUACAGCCAUGCUACCCUGAACAAAACCGAUCUCGUCUGAUCUUGGAAGCUAAGCAGGGUUGGGCCUGGUUAGUACUUGGAUGGAAGACCACCUAGGAAGCCCAGGUACUGUAGGCG